rnacentral:rRNA from 1 species
UGGGGAAUAUUGCACAAUGGGGGAAACCCUGAUGCAGCGACGCCGCGUGAACGAAGAAGGUAUUCGUAUCGUAAAGUUCUGUCCUAUGGGAAGAUAAUGACAGCACCAUAGAAGAAAGCUCCGGCUAAAUACGUGCCAGCAGCCGCGGUAAUACGUAUGGAGCGAGCGUUGUCCGGAAUUAUUGGGCGUAAAGGGUACGCAGGCGGUUUAAUAAAUCGAAUGUUAAAGAUCGGGGCUCAACCCCGCAAAGCAUUGGAAACUGAUAAACUUGAGUAGUGGAGAGGAAAGUGGAAUUCCUAGUGUAGUGGUGAAAUACGUAGAUAUUAGGAGGAGUACCAGUAGCGAAGGCGACUUUCUGGAAACAAACUGACGCUGAGGUACGAAAAAGUGGGGAGCAAACAGG